rnacentral:rRNA from 2 species
UAAUACGUAGGUGGCAAGCGUUAUCCGGAAUUACUGGGCGUAAAGCGCACGCAGGCGGUCUCUUAAGUUUGACGUGAAAGCUCCCGGCUUAACUGGGAGAGGUCGUUGAAUACUGGGGGACUUGAGGCAAUGAGAGGGGUGUAGAAUUCCCGGUGUAGUGGUGGAAUGCGUAGAUAUCGGGGGGAAUACCAGUGGCGAAAGCGGCACCCUAGCGUUGUUCUGACGCUCAUGUGCGAAAGCGUGGGGAGCGAACGGG